rnacentral:rRNA from 1 species
GACGAACGCUGGCGGCGUGCUUAACACAUGCAAGUCGAACGGAAAGGCCCUGCUUUUGUGGGGUGCUCGAGUGGCGAACGGGUGGGUAACACGUGAGUAACCUGCCCUUGACUUUGGGAUAACUUCAGGAAACUGGGGCUAAUACCGGAUAGGAGCUCCUGCUGCAUGGUGGGGGUUGGAAAGUUUCGGCGGUUGGGGAUGGACUCGCGGCUUAUCAGCUUGUUGGUGGGGUAGUGGCUUACCAAGGCUUUGACGGGUAGCCGGCCUGAGAGGGUGACCGGCCACAUUGGGACUGAGAUACGGCCCAGACUCCUACGGGAGGCAGCAGUGGGGAAUAUUGCACAAUGGGCGGAAGCCUGAUGCAGCAACGCCGCGUGCGGGAUGACGGCCUUCGGGUUGUAAACCGCUUUCGCCUGUGGCGUAGCGUGAGUGACGGUAAUGGGUAAAGAAGCACCGGCUAACUACGUG